GGGGGGGGGGGGGGGGGGGGGGGGGGCGGGCAGGGCGGGCGAAGAGAGGAGGAGCUUGCUCCUCGGACGUGAGCGGCGGACGGGGGAGUAGCACGUGGAUAACCUAGCUAUAAGACUGGGAUAACGUCGGGAAACCGGAGCUAAUACCGGAUAAGAUAUUGAACCGCGUGGUUCACUCGUGAAAGACGGUGUUGCUGUCACGGAUAGAUGGAUCCGCGCCGCAUUAGCUAGUUGGUAAGGUAACGGCUUAACAAGGCGACGAUGCGUAGCCGACCUGAGAGGGUGAUCGGCAACACUGGAACUGAGACACGGUCCCGACUCCUACGGGAGGCAGCAGUAGGGAAUCUUCCGCAAUGGGCGAAAGCCUGACGGAGCAACGCCGAGUGAGUGAUGAAGGUCUUCGGAUCGUAAAACUCUGUUAUUAGGGAAGAACAAAUGUGUAAGUAACUAUGCACGUCUUGACGGUACCUAAUCAGAAAGCCACGGCUAACUACGUG
rnacentral:rRNA from 1 species